rfam:Brachypodium distachyon strain Bd21 chromosome 1, whole genome shotgun sequence.
UUAUUACUCCUCCGUCCAACAAAAGAUAUCUCAAGUUUGUCAAAAUUUGGAUGUAUCUACACAUGAUUUAGUGUAUAGAUGCAGUCAAAUUUAGUCAAAGUUGAGAAAUCCUUUGUUGAACGGAGGAAGUAUGAA